UUUUUUUUUUUUUUUUUUUUUUUUUUUUUAACAGCUUUAUUGGACAUACAUAUAAAAGGUUACAUAUUAUUAUACAAACAAAGACUACAGGGUAUACGUCCAAUGGGGCUAGCGCAAACGGGACAACGAGACCCAUGCAGGGCGCCACCCCUAAACUAAACUAGUGAAAACAAACUUAUUUACUAUACAGAAUAUAUACAUAUAUAACUUAGGACUUAAGUACGGUGACAAGGGCAGUCUCUUAUGAGCGACCAAGUACAUGUCAUAUCUACAUUAAAAGUACUGUUCACCAAGGCGGUGAAUAAUAUGUGAAUAAUAUGUGAAUAAUAUGUGCCGUGAAUGACUUUUAAAGUUUGAAAAAUAACAAUUUAUCCUGGAAUAUAGCUG